AUUGAACGCUGGCGGCAUGCUUUACACAUGCAAGUCGAACGGUAACAGCACUUCGGUGGCUGACGAGUGGCGAACGGGUGCGUAAUACAUCGGAACGUGCCUAGUAGUGGGGGAUAACUACUCGAAAGAGUAGCUAAUACCGCAUGAGAUCUAAGGAUGAAAGCCGGGGACCUUCGGGCCUUGCGCUACUAGAGCGGCUGAUGGCAGAUUAGGUAGUUGGUGGGAUAAAAGCUUACCAAGCCGACGAUCUGUAGCUGGUCUGAGAGGACGACCAGCCACACUGGGACUGAGACACGGCCCAGACUCCUACGGGAGGCAGCAGUGGGGAAUUUUGGACAAUGGGCGCAAGCCUGAUCCAGCAAUGCCGCGUGCAGGAUGAAGGCCUUCGGGUUGUAAACUGCUUUUGUACGGAACGAAAAGCCCUCUUCUAAUACAGGAGGGUCAUGACGGUACCGUAAGAAUAAGCACCGGCUAACUACGUG
rnacentral:rRNA from 1 species